AUUGAACGCUGGCGGCAUGCCUUACACAUGCAAGUCGAACGGUAACAGGUCUUCGGACGCUGACGAGUGGCGCACGGGUGAGUAAUGCAUCGGAACGUGCCCAGUCGUGGGGGAUAACUGCUCGAAAGAGCAGCUAAUACCGCAUACGACCUGAGGGUGAAAGCGGGGGACCGUAAGGCCUCGCGCGAUUGGAGCGGCCGAUGUCAGAUUAGCUAGUUGGUGGGGUAAAGGCCUACCAAGGCAACGAUCUGUAGUUGGUCUGAGAGGACGACCAGCCACACUGGGACUGAGACACGGCCCAGACUCCUACGGGAGGCAGCAGUGGGGAAUUUUGGACAAAGGGCGCAAGCCUGAUCCAGCAAUGCCGCGUGCAGGAAGAAGGCCUUCGGGUUGUAAACUGCUUUUGUCAGGGAAGAAAUCUUCUGGGCUAAUACCCCGGGAGGAUGACGGUACCUGAAGAAUAAGCACCGGCUAACUACGUG
rnacentral:rRNA from 1 species